AAAGAUGAUGAAGGAAUGUACUUCUGUGGAAAAGUAGACAUUACAGAAAAAACCAUUACAUUUUCUAAUGGCACAUUCUUAGCCGUGACAGGUCAACCUCAGUUAAAUGUAACAGUGCUUCAAACUCCAGUAUGGAAGUCAAUUUCUCCGGGAGAGUCGGUCACUCUGCAGUGCACGGUCCACUCUAAGACCGGAGCAGCUGAACUCAGAGUGCUGUGGUUCAGAGCUGCUGCAGGACAAUCCUUUCCUGAAAUCAUUUACACUCAUGAGAACAGCAGAAGCCGUCAGUGUGAGAUCAGCUCUUCUACACACAAAUGUGUGCACAACUUCUCCAAGAACAACCUCAGUGACUCUGAUGCUGGAACUUACUACUGCGCUGUGGCUGCUUGUGGGAAGAUACUUUUUAGCAAUGGAGCAUUAGUACAACCGAAGGGGCCUCUGGAUCCUGCUGUGAUCUUUCUGGGAGCAGCUUUAGGAGUGUGUGUGGUUGUGAUCUCUGCUGAAACCUUUAUAAUCUGUAAGAGGAGAAACAGUGACCACUGCAGUGACUGCUGAGAGUCUGAAUUACGCUCCCAUCCAUUUCAAAGAGAACAAACCCAAAACUGGACGAGUGAAGAGAGAACAGCCUGAAGACAUUGUGUACUCUCAAGUGAGAAGCUCUAAUGCUAAAGCUCAUCGUUCUCAUCGCUAGAUCUCUUUCCUUUAGUGAGCAGAAGGGAAGUUUGGGGAUGUUUUUAUUUUACUGGGAUAUUCAGAGCUGCACAUGAUCUCCAGGUUAGUUUAAUAAUGUUUAUGUUAUUAUUUCUCUUGAUUUUGGACUUUGUGAAUGUUUGUUGUUUCUGCUGAUAUUUGGAUUUACAGUGAAGUGCUGUACUUUGUUUAGGUCCCCAUUUUGCUCAAAAGAGAGUGAAAAGUGUUCUGUUUAGUUGCUGAAGUAUGAAUAGCAACAUUGAAAUUAUUACUAGUGUA